CAGUAAAUGCACCUGAACCUUGAAAUGAAACUGCUGAAUGAUCUUACGAUUGAACAGAUGCCCUCGCAUUUUGUCAAUAAAUGUUCCUCAUGAGUACAACUCUGUGACAAAUGAGCUGCGGCGUUAACAGCAUUCAGACGUGUAAGUUGGUAGAUGAGGUACGAGCAAGGAGACACGCAUCUCAGUAUCUCCAUCUGUUCGCUUGCUGUAUCAGCUUUACUGCUUCCCUAUCACUCUCGUGAGGCGGCCUCUUCUGGAUGCCCAUGCUCUGCAAACAAAUGUCCCUCUGUGUGAGAAACACUUCGGAAAUGAAGUGCUAUUGCACACAAUUGAACGUUUUUUUAUUCCACCACCAAAUUACCUUUCUCCUAUUAUCUACGAUCACUAAUCACCACCUUUCCAAUUAAUCAAUUGACCUGCGAAGAAUAUCAGGGUGGGUAGGGAGAGAAGGAGGGGAUUACAAUCAAAAUGGAGCUGGAGGCAUUGUCAUCACUCAUGUUUUUUAUAAGAAUCAGGUGAUCAUGGUUUACAAGAAUAUCCCAUCCUGUGAAAGGCCAAGUGUAUGAGGAGUUUGAUGCUUCUCCAACAGAGUCCUGAAGAUCUCUUCCUGCUUGGGGAUUUCGAUAGAAGAGUGGCCGCAGUAGCAUAGCCUGAGAAAGAGAAUGGACAAAGACGACUUGUAUUAUGAAGAAGAAACCAAAACAUUGCCUCUGCUUUCUCUCCACGAAUGCUGCCACGAAUGCUGCCAGAUCUACUGAGGUUCUCCAGCAAUUUCUGUUUUUGUUUAGAUUUCCAGCAUCUUUGGCUUUGUGUUUAGGAAAGAAUUGGGCUUCCAUGAGAUUUCUGUAACUGAAGUCUUCUUUCAAAAUAAACUAUGUCACUUGAAA